GAAAGUCCAUGGAACCAGCUCCCCGCCCGCCCUCGCAAUGGUCGUCACCACUGCGAGGGCGGGUGGGGAGCUGGUUCCAUGGACCAUC